rnacentral:rRNA from 1 species
UACAGGGGGUGCAAACGUUGCUCGGAAUCAUUGGGCGUAAAGCGCACGUAGGCGGUUCGUUAUGUCGGAUGUGAAAGCCCUUGGCUUAACCGAGGAAGUGCAUCCGAAACUGGCGAGCUAGAGUACUAAAGAGGAUCGCGGAAUUCCCGGUGUAGAGGUGAAAUUCGUAGAUAUCGGGAGGAACACCAGUGGCGAAGGCGGCGAUCUGGGCAGACACUGACGCUGAGGUGCGAAAGCGUGGGGAGCAAACAGG